AAGUAUACAAAGAGAGAUAAGGAGAAGACCCUAGAAAAAUCCCCCACUUCUCCUCUUUCCCCAUCUCGUCUGCUCCAUGGCCGCCGCCUUCCUCCGCAGCCGCAUUCCUCCGACUUCCUCGCCACAGCCGCCGCCGUCAUCGACAGGGAACUCGUUCCAGCGCUGCUAGCCAUCAGCUCCUCCAAUCUCCACACCCGCUCAUCGCCCAGCUCCUCCACCGCUGCCCGAGUCAACCUUCGUCCGCCAUCCCCGAUCUCCUUCCAUCCCGAACCACCACCGUCGCUCUGCCUCCACCUCCCUCUGCCGCCGCAUCCCACUAACCUUGGACCACCCCAACAGGGCUGCCCUGUACGCGUUGCCUGCUCCCCGUGCUCCAUGAUCCAGAUCCGGGUCACUCUCCCGUCGCACGAACAGCAAGCCACCCGCUACUCCUCCAACAUGACACCAGCAGGCUCCUCCUCUCCCUUUCGUCCAAAUCACCUGAUCCGUUUUACUGUGGAACUCUCCGAGAAUUAAGGAACUCUCUACUUUUAUCGGAACUCUCGGCCUUGUUGUCUCCUCUGCCUGUUCUCUGCUUUGAGGAACCUGAAGAUGCUGUUGGAGAAAAGGAAGGUGUAAAAAGGGUAAGGCGUCAUGGACUAGUGGUAAAACAAGCUUUCUGGUACCAAUGAUGAAAGGGUGUGGAUGCAGCAAAGUUAUGUGGUCAAAAUUGAUGAACAAAGAAGUUGCAGCAUGCAAAUCAAAACCUAUCUCAGGGAAACACCUAUUCAUCUCAUGUUAGUUUGGAGGAUGGUGCUAUGGACAACCACAACAAUGGCAACACUGUAUGCAACAUUGAUGGUGGGAACAUCGGUGGUAGUCCAGAUGACUUAGGAACUUAUGAACUGAUGAAUGUAGGUGAUGGAUGAAAAUUUAGAGUGGUGGUGCCAAUGAAUUUGUACAACUGUUAUGUUAUUACCUUUGAGGAAGUAAACUUUUCACUUGUCAAGUGCAAAAUGUCAGAUCAUCGUUUGCUCUA